GAAGACUCACAUGUGUGGAAGAUCUGCCCAGCAAGUAUUGAUGGUGCUACGUACCAGGAGAGAUCAUUUCAGAACAGUGUCAGCAGCACAAGGAAUUAAAAAUACUACAAGAUUGUCCAGGUGCCCAAGGAUUUGAAGAUACUGAGGAACAGGGUUUCUGAUACUCAGAGGUUACAACCACACCAAACAAAGGUUUUGACUCCCUGAUUUCACAGACCACAACAUAAAUUCUGGUUUGCUGACAUCACGGUUCGCAACAACUUGUUCGGCCGGUCAGCAAAAGGCGCACAAGGGCCACUCCAGAAAACCCUGCCCUGGCACAGCCUUUUGAUAUAGAUGCCCUCGUUGUUGCUCAGCAGCAGCACCCCACGCUCAAGCGAAUCUCAUUCCUCGAAAAACAUCUGACAACAUCUAAACUGAGCUCAGGUCCCUUGAUACAGACCGGCCUCAAAGUCAAUGAAGCAAAUUGGUAUGCAUAAAGAUGUCUAUAUCCGCCUACAGCUUGGAAACUGGACUAACUUGCUACAAACCUCCAGAGUGUCCCCAAACCUAACCUGCAUGUUUUACCCUUGGCUACAUUGCGAUUGUGUAUUUUCAAAGUAGAACCGCUUCAUGAAAAUUAAUAAAUGCAGCAUCAUAAACUGUGUCGUACUUUGAAGAUCGAA